GUAUUGACCUGGCAGAACACUAAAACCAGGAAUGUGGUUUUCCCAAGGUAAGCCUCAUCCCUUGCCCUCUGGUUGUGCCAGCCCCUGCACUUUCCUCAAAUGUGGGCAACUUGGCUGUGGUGAUGGGGGGGAUGACAUCCCUGUUGCCCCCAG
rnacentral:snRNA from 9 species